UCCCAUCAAAUUACAUUCUGACUGUGUACUUUCCCCUUUCACAGGUCAACAUGGAGCUGACCACUUGUCAUAUUCACCUUCAAACAGUGCUGGUGUGAAGGAAAAUUGAUCUUUUACAGCAAGAAAACUCACCUGAGAAAAAGCCUGAAGCAUAAUGAAUGAGGUUAGAAGCCAAGUAAAGCGAAUGUGUUAAGUGGCGAAGCUCUCGUUUCACACUUGAACUUAACAGCAAAAGUGAACGGGUACGGAGGUGUGUAGUCGUGAGAGUCGCCUGAGCUGGGGUCACAGAGAAGUCAUGAGAGGAAGGCAACAUGCUCAGACUCUCAGGAGUCCACAGUGCCAAAGGCAUUGCUACAAACGGUCCCAACUCUUUCACUUCUGAUCAUGAACUAAAUCCAUCCAGUUUAUUUCCUAAAUAUUCAGUGUAAGGCCUCACGCAAUGGGUCCUCAAAUGCACACAGACACUGGGUGGAAAAGCCACCUCCCUUCCACUAAGAAGCUAUAUUUACAUGCCUGUAAUGCAGACUACUGUGAUUCUGGACCCUAAAAAAGCCUUUUUAAUAAAAAUGCAUCAGAGGAAGA